rnacentral:rRNA from 2 species
UACGAGGGGGGCAAGUGUUGUUCGGAAUCACUGGGCGUAAAGGGAGCGUAGGCGGGCGCUUAAGUGGGAUGUUUAAAACCGGGGCCCAACCCCGGAGCGGCAUUCCAAACUGGGCGUCUUGAAUAGGGGAGAGGUCGAUGGAAUUGGAGGUGUAGCGGUGGAAUGCGUAGAGAUCUCCAAGAACACCGGUUGCGAAGGCGGUCGACUGGACCCAUAUUGACGCUGAGGCUCGAAAGCAUGGGGAGCAAACAGG